AAAAUAAAACAAAACUCAUUAGAGCAGUUUUGUAAGUUACAUGAACAAUAUAGUUGUUCUGGAUUACUUUGAAUAAAAACGUUUUAAAAAUCAAUAGUUUAUUUGAUAUCUGACGCCCAAUAAUAAAACAACUCACAAUCAUCGGUCACGAUAAAUUGGUUCAGAAGAGCGAAAUAUUAGAAUAAUAGCGUCAUAAAGUUGGAUUAUCCUUACCUUCGAACCAGAUUAUAAAGCGUAUAUUUGAAGACUUCUAAAGUCGCCCUUACUUCCACUCUUCCUUGGCAAAACACUAUUCUCCUACAUGUUGUCUACAGUCUUCAAAAAAGAAGAAGGUGAUGGAUAUUUCCUUGUUUAAUCUAUAAUUUAAAGUUCGUUUUCUUAAAUGUGACUCCAAGAAAGCUAUCAAUAAAUACGUAUUUUGAAAGUGC